CCUACGGGUGGCCGCAGUGGGGAAUAUUGGUCAAUGGACGAAAGUCUGAACGAGCCAAGUAGCGUGAAUGAUGAAGGCCCUAGGAGUGUAAAACUUCUUUUAUAGAGCAGUAAAACGAGGCGCGUGUGCCUUUUUGCGUGUACGUUAUCAAUAAGGAUCGACUAACUCCGUUCCAGCAGACCCGGUGAUACGGCGGAUCCGGGGGUGAUCCGGAUUUAUUGGGUUUAAAGUGAACGUAGAUGGGUUGUUAAGUCAGUUGUGAAAGUUUGCGGCUCAACCGUAAAAUUGCAAUUGAUACUGGCAGUCUUGAGUACAUGUGAGGGAGGCGGAACUCGUGGUGUAGCGGUGAAAUGCUUAGAUAUCACGAAGAACUCCAAUUGCGAAGGCAGCUUACUAAACUGCAACUGACAUUGAGGCUCGAAAGUGUGGGUAUCAAACAGGAUUAGAUACCCUUGUAGUC
rnacentral:rRNA from 1 species